rnacentral:rRNA from 1 species
CCUACGGGAGGCAGCAGUGGGGAAUAUUGGACAAUGGGCGAAAGCCUGAUCCAGCCAUGCCGCGUGUGUGAAGAAGGCCUUCGGGUUGUAAAGCACUUUCAGUGGGGAAGAAAGCCUUGGGGCUAAUACCCUCGAGGAAGGACAUCACCCACAGAAGAAGCACCGGCUAACUCCGUGCCAGCAGCCGCGGUAAUACGGAGGGUGCGAGCGUUAAUCGGAAUUACUGGGCGUAAAGCGCGCGUAGGCGGUCUGAUAAGCCGGUUGUGAAAGCCCCGGGCUCAACCUGGGAACGGCAUCCGGAACUGUCAGGCUAGAGUGCAGGAGAGGAAGGUAGAAUUCCCGGUGUAGCGGUGAAAUGCGUAGAGAUCGGGAGGAAUACCAGUGGCGAAGGCGGCCUUCUGGACUGACACUGACGCUGAGGUGCGAAAGCGUGGGUAGCAAACAGGAUAAGAUACCCGAGUAGUC